rnacentral:rRNA from 1 species
UACGAAGGGGGCUAGCGUUGCUCGGAAUCACUGGGCGUAAAGGGCGCGUAGGCGGCGUUUUAAGUCGGGGGUGAAAGCCUGUGGCUCAACCACAGAAUUGCCUUCGAUACUGGACGGCUCGAGACCGGAAGAGGUCAGUGGAACUGCGAGUGUAGAGGUGAAAUUCGUAGAUAUUCGCAAGAACACCGGUGGCGAAGGCGGCCAACUGGACCAUUACUGACGCUGAGGCGCGAAAGCGUGGGGAGCAAACAGG